UAUGGUGGUUAUACCGAGGGUGUUCACCUCUUCCCAUUCCGAACAGAGAAGUUAAGUCCCUCAUGGCCAAUGGUACUUGGGCCUUGUCCCUGGGAGAGUAGGUAGCUGCCGUAU
rnacentral:rRNA from 2 species